GCUUAUGGCCAUUCCACUCUGACCACACCCAAUCUCAUCUGAUCUCAGAAGCUUAGCUCAGUCAGGCCUGGUUAGUAUUCGGAUGGGAGACCGCCUGGGAAUACCAGGCGCUGGAAGCU
ensembl:rRNA 5S_rRNA 5S ribosomal RNA